rnacentral:rRNA from 1 species
GACGAACGCUGGCGUCGUGCUUAACACAUGCAAGUCGAACGGUAAGGCCCUUCGGGGUACACGAGUGGCGAACGGGUGAGUAACACGUGGGUGAUCUGCCCUGCACUUCGGGAUAAGCCUGGGAAACUGGGUCUAAUACCGGAUAGGACCACUGCCUGCAUGGGUGGUGGUGGAAAGCUUUUGCGGUGUGGGGAUGGGCCCGCGGCCUAUCAGCUUGUGGGUGGGGUGAUGGCCUACCAAGGCGACGACGGGUAGCCUGCCUGAGAGGGUGACCGGCCACACUGGGACUGACAGACGGCCCAGACUCCUACGGGAGGCAGCAGUGGGGAAUAUUGCACAAUGGGCGCAAGCCUGAUGCAGCGACGCCGCGUGAGGGAUGACGGCCUUCGGGUUGUAAACCUCUUUCAGCACCGACGAAGCGCAAGUGACGGUAGGUGCAGAAGAAGGACCGGCCAACUACGUGCCAGCCGCCGCGGUAACAC